UCUCGAAUCUUUGAACGCACCUUGCGCUCCUUGGUAUUCCGAGGAGCAUGCCUGUUUGAGUGUCA
rnacentral:rRNA from 1 species